AUUUCCUUGCUAACCCAGGUCCGUUGUUUCAAAAAUUGUUGCUUUCUGCAAGAAUGAUGUUAGCCACCUGUGUUAGGCCUCUGCACUCAUUGACCAAUAGCCUGAUCAGGGCCAAAUGACUGCAGAUGCACACCAAUAUGAUGAGCAGCAAAAUGGCGUUUAUUCACUACUAAACACAGUUUAUAUACAUUUUUACCUACAUAACUGUGCUGUCAUGUCCCACCCUGAUUGGUUCACACCAGAUAACAUUGUGCCUUAUUUGGCCAUUUCCACAUUCUUUUCUCAUCUUUCUUCUUCUCCUGUUUUCUCUGCAUCAAGGUCAGCACAAUAGCACUGUCUCUCUAUGCUUAGGGAGAGGCCUGUCCCGUACAUCCCGUGCCCCCGCAAGGCGCCUACUACAACAUCUCCCACUCCCUAAGCUAAAUACUACUUACACACACGCCUAACCCAUACAUCGCAAAGCAGCGCGAAACGCCUAAUCCUAAAUAUAUUUCGGCACACCAUUCCUACUACUUUUCUUCUACAAUUCUUAAGCAAACAUCAGAGCAACAGGGAAUCCUUUCCCGUGCUCGGCCAAGCCUGGUGCCUACUACAACAAAAAAUCUGUUCAUUAUCUAUUGAAAUAUUACGGAUCUGGCCUAUUGGAAGAUGCAAGGUUGUUUUUUUCCCCUGUUAAUAUACUAAGUUCCUGUUCUAAUUUCUCAAUACAGUCUUUCACUAGCUGAUUUUCAUUUUCUAAAGUAUCAGCUCUUAUUUCAGUUUAGUUUAAGGCAUUCAGCAGUGGCCAUGCCACUGUAGAGGCAGCUAACUGCCACUCUUUUGUAAUUAAUAUAUCUUCAUCUAAACCUUGAAAAUAUUCCACCAUGCAGAAUGGGGAAAUAUUCCCCAUAACUCACAGAGGACCCCAUUUUUCAAUGAUUGGAAGAUCCCAGAAAUCCUGGAAUCUGCCCAGGAACCAUUUUAUCUAGGAGGGUAGUGUUCUCCCCCUGACCCGUUUAUAAGGGUAAGACAUUAUGGUUUUAGUAUAUAUAUUUGGCCUGCCUGGCUUACCAAGUGUAGGGUCAGUAAGCAUACAGAUUGAAGGCUAGAGAAAUUAUCGUGUUAGAAAGGAAUAAUUAGGGAUGAAUGGAAAGGUUAUGCAUGUCCUGGGCUCACCAAAGACUCCAGAAGGAGCAAUCUCCAGAGAGACAUCCUUCCUCAGUGGAAGUCAGCCCUUAAAUGGGGUCUAAGAGAAGUGGAGCCUGGCUCCACCCCUUCUGAUUAUACAGGUGGAGUUGCCUUCACCUGUGCCCCCAUGGCUGACUCUGUGCUUGCCUCAGGUGGUCAGUCAGAGGUUCAGGCUGUGAUUCAACAGUUCCCAUACAGAAACUAUUUUCAAAAUAAUACUUCAGGUGAAAGCUAAGAGAUUCUCUUCUGCAGAAAGUUGCUGCUUUCUUCCAGAAGCAGCAUUUCAGCUGAGCUUCUUGCUUCACCUGGAAAUACUUGAAAGGAAAAAUUAUCCUUAUACAGUUUGGCUCUGACCCUGAAAAAUAUUAACGUGACAACCAUAACUUCCUGUAUGUGCAACAAUAGGGACUAACAACACCUGUGAUCUAGCUGUUUCCACACAAAGGUGUAACAGCCUGCCUGGCUCUGCAAAUUUGCAGAAUUACUGGCACGACUACCAGAGGGACGGGUCACCUACUGAAGUCUACUUUGCUAUUUCUAUGUAUGUGUUUUUUAGUCCCUCCAUAAGGUAUGUUUGUGUUUCUGCAGAGCAUAUGACUUUACUGCACUAGUAAAAGCAAAUGGAGGAAGGAGAGCUCUGUGUUCCCUUGCAGCUGUGUUUCCCAAAGCUCUGCAGCCUGCUGUUGAGAAAGCCAGCUUGGUUGCUGUUGCCUGUUUAUAAAACUCUCUGACUUGGCCCUCAUCUCUCCUAUCAUGACUGUAUCAAACGUCCCUUUGGUGGCCUGCUAUCUGCUGAGUGAUGCUCGCAUCCCACAGUUCCUGCCUAAGGCACUGACACCCACUGUCAUAACAGAAACAGUGGUCAGCCUGGCGAGUACGUGGAGAUUUCUGAAUUUGGGUUUAGGUAUCACACACUUGCAAAGGCAUGAUUUCAACCACAGAGCAUCUCCAACACAGUGAAAUGCAAGGUGAGAACACAGACUGGAUUUUCAACAGAAAAUUUUCAUUAGGUGCAGAUUUGCUCAGCUGCUUUGUGAUUUACCACCAGCACAGCAUAUCCUCAGACCCUACCAUGCAGCAUCUUUAAACCUACAGCAUAGUGAAAACAAGGUGGAUUUUAUCACAGCAGAAAACCACACCAUGGCAUAGGCAGAAGUGAAUUUAGCCCUUCAAGAUCAAGUGUGAUCUUUGGCCAAAUUAUUAUAUUUAACCUCACUGUGAAAAAGAUGUCCUAAAUUAUGAAGACCCUGCUCUGCCCUUGAAUAAGCACAUCAGACACAGACCUCAGUGGGAGGAGUACCGGCUGCUUUUAUGGUCAGGAUUCAGUCGAGAGAAUUAAGCCUUUCUGAAGCAAAACUAAAUUGCAACAGCAAGUGUUGUACUGUCAUUUUAAUGACAGCAGAAGUCUGCGGAAUGGAGUUUUGCAGUAAAAGUGUGGCAUCUGGUGGUCCAGAGAAGAAAUGGCAGCCCACUCUGAGAAGGCCGAACCAUCUCAUCAGCUUAGGGUGUCUGAUGCUGAAUUGUGCAUGUAGAGAGCAGAAUGAAUUCUCAAGGUAUUGUGCAAGCCACAAAGGCUGGGAUCAAGUUUCAUCUCACAGUGUAUUUACAGAGCAUGCCUGCCAUUGUCAGACUUGUCAACACUCAUGGUCUCUUUGCUUUUUACCCUAUGCUUAUCCCAUCUCUUCUUUCAUUAAAAAAUGUGAAUGUUUCUGUCCUUGUGGAUUUGUAAAGGGAAAAUAUAAUCCCCAAAGGCUUAGAAACCAGACAGCAAAUUAAAAAUGCCAACACUGAUUAUUCUUUGAGCUUCUAUUAUUUUAAAGGCAAUCUCCUGUCUUUCCAGGUCUGAUUUGUGGAUUCUGAAUUGCAAAGUUCAGCGAUCCUUGCACUUGGCAAGCACCUGGAAUUGAAGCAUGUGCAACCAAGCUCUGUAUGUAAUUCUGUAAAAUGAGAGCUGUUUAUCUCAGCGGCUGAAAUAUUCAUUAUUGAAAAUAAGCAUUUCAGUGUUCAGAGGCGGAAUCGUGGGCUGAGAAUAAAAACGACCUGGGAAAUAGUAAAAAACUCCAUGUCUCUAAACGGCGUAGGGUAUGACCCUGCAGAAGGGCGAUGGGAGAACUCCUUCCGCCUUGGAGCUGCCUUCUGACUCUGUCUCAUCGUUUCAGCUUGGCUGCUAUUGGUGGUGGCAGAAAAAUACCGGAAGAAAUUUACAACAGUUUUGGCUGAAAGAGAGGAGGAUGAUUGAGAAAAGGGAUGAAAUUGGAAAACACCAACCUUUGCAUCUUUUCCAGAAUGUUCUAGUAACUGGCAGGCAAUAUGGGCUUUGUGUUAAAAAAGGAGCCUAUUACCACCUCUACUGAGAAAGCACCUGCCAUUUGGCCACGUUUUAUGCCUGAGAAAUCACCCCACUUCAGUGUAGCAGCGAAAUGCUCUCAGAUUCUUUCCUUGCUUUGCUUUCUUUUUGCACUCAGACUUUGCAGGCUGCAGACAGUAUUCUCAAAGGGCAGUGGAACUGGCUCCCUCAAGCCCAGGCCCCAGUAAAUGAAUUUGGGGUCACUUGGGAACUUGCUUGUCCUGUAUUUCAGUGGCUGUUUCCUGGCACUGAUUCAGCAGGUUAAGAGCCAGUUUGAAAUGCUGAAGGAACAAAAAGCAGAAAAUGGAUAUGGGGGGGAAAUUUAGAUGGGGACAAGCAUAUAGUGGAAGUUUUCCACUUUAGAUUAGAUUAUUAUGAUUAUGAUCAUUAUUAUUAUUAUUAUUAUUUAAGGAUAGAAGGCAAAGUAAAGGCAACAGGAACAAACCAUGAAGGAAAAGCAGAUAUUCAGAGGAAAGGCUGGGGCAAAGGAUAGCGUGUGAGCUGCCUGCCCCUGGCAGUGGUGCUGGGAUUGUUUGAGCUGGUGUGGUAAAAGGAGUCUGUUCUCUUUAAAAUGCUAGCCUCAGAAGCAAAGCCAAACAGCUAUUGUGCCAUCCUCUGCAGUAACAUUUUGAUGUGCAAUCUCCACAUUGAUAUGAUUAGUUGUUAAGUCAAAUAAGAGACAGCGUGACAGAAAUGUUAUUUAACUGAUUUGCCAAACUGAAUAAAGUAUAGUCUGGUCUUGUUUACAGUCAAAAUGGGAAAGUGUUUACCAGGAUAUCCAGGGGUCUCCAACAAGAGAAAAAAACAGAUCCAAAGUAAACACUUUCCAAUGCUGCCUUAGAGAAUGGUUCCCAUCUCUGGUUCUGCUACAACAUUUCUGCUACUGCUGAACAAAGUCCUUAAAUCCGGCUUCUUCCCUAUGGUUGCUUGCUGGGAACAGAACAACCAAUCGAUCAUAGCCACUGCCAAAAUCAGCAGGGAUGUGCUUCAGAGCUACGAUGCAUUACUUAGUACUGCAUACACAAAACGAAUCAGGGCCUUAGUAUCUAAAUUAAAUCCCUCUGUGCCUUAUUUCCCCUUCCACUAAAUGAGGAUAUAACAACCUCACUACACCAUGAACAUGUGAAGAUAAACUAAUCCAGGUUUGUAAAGUCAAAUUUAAGUUGUGUGUACUCACAGCAAGGGGCCAUACUCUGAAAACUGAGGAUAAAAGGAAUGUUAAGCAGAUGCUUUUUAAAUGAGUAUUGUGCAGCCUGUGCAGUCAGAGAAACAGAUGUCUUGUAGAAAUACGGCUCAUAAUCAUGUAACUUCAGUUGUUACUGAGUGUGGGUGGGAGAAGGGAACUACCUUACCCAAGCUCUGAACACUGGAACGUACAUCCCUACAGACAUUACUUUUUAGGCAUGUUUGGGAUAUUGUCUGAGCAUCCUGAAGAUGAGCAGAAAAUAAAUUUUGAUAAAGAACUUACACCUCCUUUCAAAAACUAAUAGCAACACUAUAAAAAUUGCAAACUUUGGCCUCAACACUGACCUUGUAUUCCUGUCUUGUCAGGUCCAGAAACACUGGCAUUUCCUCAAUGUAGACAUGAAUGACUGUGGUUGUCAUAAAUACUUUGGCAACCCAAGGAGCAGGACUGCCUGCAUAAUUCUGUAUAUUUGCAACACUAGUAGCUCUUCUGUGGAAAACAAGGAACUUCAGUCUUCUCAGCAAGGGAAAAUUUCUUUAAAAAUAAAUAAACAAAUAAAUAAGCAAAAGGAACUAAUUGCAAAAACUAAUAAAAGGAAAAUUUAGUUGAUGUUGAAUUAAGGGAAUCAAUCACAAUGUGGUGGGAUUGCAUCUGUGCCACCUCCGUCAGCAAAUUUAGAGUUCCCUUGGAUCAUGUGUCUCUUAUCCACAUACUAAUGGAGGGCAGUCUGACAUAAGUUAUUAGAUGUGAUUAGAUCACAUCCUAUGAUGAUAUAGCACCAGUAAAUGUUUUCGAGUGCUGCAUUAAAAGCUGAAUGUUUGGGUAAAUUAGUCCAUCCUUUUUAAUUCUGUCACUUAAAAAAUGGUUUUAAACAUUUAAUCAAACCCGUACACAAUAUUAACAAGUGCUGAGCAAGAAAGAGAGCCUAUUGAUCACAGGUGAUAUAUCCAGAAGCAAUACACUGUUUACAGUAAGUUCUCAACUGAGUAACGAUUUAGUCAUUUACAGGGAAAAUCCUUACAAAUAAAAGUCUAAUACUGUGAUACUCAGUCUUCCUGAUGGAAUCCCAUUGCCAAGACUGAGUUUUGUGCAGCACUUCACACACAUUUUAUUGAAACUACUGUACAGUGCCUUAUGUGAAGGAUAUAGAAGAACAUAAAGAAUUGUGCAGUAAAUUUUGUA
rnacentral:lncRNA from 1 species